rnacentral:lncRNA from 1 species
ACAAAUGUAACACAUAUAUUAUAUUUUAAUAAUAUUCAUGCAUAGUAUAGGUUAUAAAUAAUUAAAAAUACAACCAGCUCUAAAAUAGACAAUGGAUUCUUUGUAAGGACACAUAGAGACAAACCCAACUUUGUGAAAUGAAAUUUUUAGGCAAAAAUAACUAACCGGCACACAAGAAGUUUAUCAACAACACUCUUAGAAAAAUUAUUUGAAUCAUCAUAUUCCAAGCACUAGAGAAAUCUGCACAUAUUGCUCCUCUGAUCACUGAAAUAUUUGUUGCGUCGAUGCCCCUAGUCCAUCUUCUAUUAUGAUCAAUCAGUUUCACUUCUCCAAUUAUACACUAAUUUGUAUACUUGAUAAAGGCCAACAAUCGUUAUCUAGAGUACUAAAGUUUUUCAGGGAAGAAAUUAGAGAACAAGAACAGCACAUUUUGGGUAGGUAACUGGAACAAACUAAAUGCCCAGGAAUUCAUGAAGUACACCAUCUCCAAAGGUUACAAGAUUGAUUCGUAUGCUUCCCAGAAAAAAAAAUACUACUGGAAUAAUCAUAUAAUGUUGUUGAAAUGCUGUUUUUCAAUCGAGUUCACUCUCUUUCUUUCUUCAGACACUUUCCUGCAAGUUUAAUAAAGUUCUGCAGAAACCCAUUCUACUUCAAACAAAAUACUUUGAAGCCUCUGGGAAAGUCUAUUUCAUAAAGAGAGACCAAUGUUAAAAAAAUCUAGCUUUAACAUUUCGCGGUAGGAAAAAUAUAGAUGUUGAAUAGAUUACCUGGAUUAUCAUGUCUUGUCCAACUUUGCUUGACUUAUAAAGUGGAUAUCGGUUUACUAAGGUCUUCUCGG